rnacentral:ncRNA from 3 species
UGGCUCGCGCCCGUAGUCUGGAGAAUUAAUCGCCAGGGUUGCGUUGCGGUGUGCCCCGGUUCGAGUCUUAGCGCGCCGGAUCGGCCGGUUUCCGCGACGUUUCUAAGACCCCGUCAGCCGACUUCUCCAGUUUACGGGAGCGAGCCCUCUUUUUUUUUUUUUGUUUUUUGUUGCCCAG